rnacentral:rRNA from 1 species
GGAUCAGUACGUUGGUCGUGCCUUGGUACGUACUGGCGUCACUGGUUCCUACCUUCUGACGAACCGUCAUGUCAUUAAUUUGGUGUGGCGGGGAAUCAGGACUGUUACUUUGAAAAAAUUAGAGUGUUUAAAGCAGGCUCGCGCUUGAAUACAUUAGCAUGGAAUAAUGAAAUAGGACGUUCGAUCCUAUUUUGUUGGUUUCUAGGAUUGACGUA